rnacentral:rRNA from 1 species
GACGUAGGGCGCGAGCGUUGUCCGGAUUUAUUGGGCGUAAAGAGCUCGUAGGCGGCUUGUCGCGUCGAAUGGGAAAUCUCAGGGCUCAACUCUGACAUUGCAUUCGAUACGGGCAGGCUAGAGUUCGGUAGGGGAGACUGGAAUUCCUGGUGUAGCGGUGAAAUGCGCAGAUAUCAGGAGGAACACCGGUGGCGAGGGCGGGUCUCUGGGCCUGUUCUGACGCUGAGGCGCGAAAGCUAGGGGAGCGAACAGG